rnacentral:rRNA from 1 species
CCUACGGGAGGCAGCAGUGGGGAAUAUUGGGCAAUGGAGGAAACUCUGACCCAGCGACGCCGCGUGCGGGAUGAAGGCCUUCGGGUUGUAAACCGCUUUCAGUAGGGAAGAAGCGAAAGUGACGGUACCUACAGAAGAAGCACCGGCUAACUAUGUGCCAGCAGCCGCGGUAAUACAUAGGGUGCAAGCGUUGUCCGGAAUUAUUGGGCGUAAAGAGCUCGUAGGUGGUUCGUCACGUCGGAUGUGAAAAUCUGGGGCUCAACCCCAGACCUGCAUUCGAUACGGGCGAUCUAGAGUGUGGUAGGGGAGACUGGAAUUCCUGGUGUAGCGGUGGAAUGCGCAGAUAUCAGGAGGAACACCAAUGGCGAAGGCAGGUCUCUGGGCCAUUACUGACACUGAGGAGCGAAAGCGUGGGGAGCGAACAGGAUUAGAUACCCUGGUAGUCCCACGACCGUAACGGUAGGGCGACUAGUUGUGGGUACCGUUACCGUACGGUUACGUGCGACGCGAGCUACGCAUUAAGUAGCCCGCCGUCGGGAGGUACGAGUCGCGAGAAGUUAAACUAACAAAUAGAAGUUAGACGGCGUGAGACGUGCCGAACGGACGACGACGAGGGAGGUAGG